rnacentral:rRNA from 1 species
AGUAGGGAAUAUUGGACAAUGGGCGAAAGCCUGAUCCAGCAAUGCCGCGUGAGUGAUGAAGGCCUUAGGGUUGUAAAGCUCUUUUACCCGGGAAGAUAAUGACUGUACCGGGAGAAUAAGCUCCGGCUAACUCCGUGCCAGCAGCCGCGGUAAUACGGAGGGAGCUAGCGUUGUUCGGAAUUACUGGGCGUAAAGCGCACGUAGGCGGCGAAGCAAGUCAGGGGUGAAAUCCCGGGGCUCAACCCCGGAACUGCCCUUGAAACUGCUUUGCUAGAAUCCUGGAGAGGCGAGUGGAAUUCCGAGUGUAGAGGUGAAAUUCGUAGAUAUUCGGAAGAACACCAGUGGCGAAGGCGACUCGCUGGACAGGUAUUGACGCUGAGGUGCGAAAGCGUGGGGAGCAAA